UAUGGUAAAACAAUUUUAGAUUUUUACCAAUCCUCAAAUCCACCACGGUUUUUUAAACCACAAAAAGACAGGAGAUUCAAUUGUAAAGCGGUUGGAGAUGCAGCUAUGAGCGUCAAAUUAAAAUUGUAUUAAUUGGAUCUUAAAACUUUAUCAAUUAAAAUUGCGGAAGCAUUUGUUGGAGAAGAAGCAACAUUUUAUUUUGAUAAAAUCAAUGGACAACCAAAAGGUGGUCUAUAUCAGUAUUUUAAAAAUAAAUAUGCUCAAAUAUUAAAAAUGAAAAGAGCAAUAACUGCUGAAACUCCACCACCAGUAGUUAAUCCAGACAUAGAAGAAAGCCGAAGAUUGUUAAAUUCUGAUAUACCUGAGAAUUGGGAUAAAAUUGAACAUGCUUGGCAAACAACAAUGGAAACAAG